rnacentral:rRNA from 1 species
CCCUUAGAUGUUCUGGGCCGCACGCGCGCUACACUGAUACAUUCAACGAGUUUCUUCCUGGUCCGAGAGGAAUGGGUAACCUUUUGAAAGUGCAUCGUGAUAGGGAUAGACUAUUGCAAUUAUUGGUCUUCAACGAGGAAUUCCUAGUAGACGUAGUUCAUCAGACUGCAUCGAUUACGUCCCUGCCCUUUGUACACACCGCCCGUCGCUCCUACCGAUUGAAUGCUCAGGUGGGCCAUUCGGACUUUCAUCAUGCUGGUUUCCAGUUUUGAUGAAGGAAAGUCUUGCGAACCUUAUCAUUUAGAGGAAGGAGAAGUCGUAACA